UCUAACUGAUCUCAUGGGGACGUGGAGAACCUUUUUGUCUAGAUCAGGGAUGGUAAACACCAAUCAGCGCCCUGUCAAAACAGACCACUCGGCUCUACCAAUCAGCAGGACAUGGGUGGGGCCAGAUAAGAGAAUAAAAGCAGGCUGCCCGAGCCAGCAGUGGCAACCCGCUCGGGUCCCCUUCCACACUGUGGAAGCUUUGUUCUUUCGCUCUUUGCAAUAAAUCUUGCUACUGCUCACUCUUUGGGUCCACACUGCUUUUAUGAGCUGUAACACUCACCGCGAAGGUCUGCAGCUUCACUCCUGAAGCCAGCGAGACCACGAGCCCACCGGGAGGAACGAACAGCUCCAGACGUGCCGCCUUAAGAGCUGUAACACUCACUGCGAAGGUCUGCAGCUUCAUUCCUGAGCCAGCGAGACCACGAACCCACCAGAAGGAAGAAACUCCGAACACAUCUGAACAUCAGAAGGAACAAACUCCGGACACGCCGCCUUUAGAGCUAUAACACUCACCGUGAGGUCCGCGGCUUCAUUCUUGAAGUCAGUGAGACCAAGGACCCACCAAUUCCGGACACAUUUUGGCGACCACGAAGGGACUUUUGCCUAUCGCCAAGCGGUGAGACAACUGCCGAAUGGUGAGACCAUCACCUAUCACUGAGCAGUAAGACCAUCACCUAUCGCCGAGCAAAUCGAGGCCAUCAAGCUACAGAUGGCCUUACAAAUGGAACCCCAAAUGAGUUCAACUAACAACUUCUACUGAGGACCCCUGGACCGACCUGCUGGCACUUCCCCUGGCCUAGAGAGUUCUCCUCUGAAGGACACUACAACUGCAGGGCCCCUUCUUCGCCCAUAUCCAGCAGGAAGUAGCUAGAGUGGUCAUCGGCCAAAUUCCCAACAGCAGUUGGGGUGUCCUGUUUAGAGGGGGGAUUGAGAGGUGACAGUGUGCUGGCAGUCCUCACAGCCCUCGCUUGCUCUCGGCACCUCCUCUGCCUGGACUCCCACUUUGGCGGCACUUGAGGAGCCCUUCAGCCCACUGCUGCACUGUGGGAGCCCCUUUCUGGGCUGGCCAAGGCGGGAGCCAGCUCCCUCAGCUUGCAGGGAGGUGUGGAGGGAGAGGUGCGAGCAGGAACUGGGGCUGCGUGCAGCGCUUGCAGGCCAGCUGGAGUUCCGGGUGGGCGUGGGCUUGGCGGGUCCCCCACUCAGAGCAGCCGGCCGGCCCUGCCGGCCCCAGGCAAUGAGGGGCUUAGCACCCAGGCCAGUGGCUACGGACGGUGUACUGGGUCCCCCAGCAGUGCCAACCCACCAGCACUGCGCUCGAUUUCUCACCAGAGCUUAGCUGCCUUCCCGCGGGGCAGGGCCCCAGACCUGCAGCCCGCCAUGCCUGAGCCUCCCACCCCCUCCAUGGGCUCCUGUGCUGCCUGAGCGUCCCCGACGAGCACCACCCCCUGCUCCACGGCGCUCAGUCCCAUCAACCACCCAAGGGCUGAGGAGUGCAAGCGCACGGCACGGGACUGGCAGGCAGCUCCACCUGCAGCCCUGGUGCAGGAUCCACUGGGUGAAGCCAGCUGGGCUCCUGAGUCUGGCGGAGAUGUGGAGAAGCUUUAUGUCUAGCUCAGGGAUUGUAAACACACCGAUUAGCACCCUGUGUCUAGCUCGAGGUUUGUGGAUGCACCAAUUCACACUCUGUAUCUAGCUGCUCUGUUGGGGCCUUGGAGAACGUUUGUGUCCAUACUCUGUAUCUAACUGAUCUGAUGGGGACGUGGAGAACUUUUAUGUCUAGCUCAGGGAUGGUAAACACCAAUCAGUGCCCUGUCAAAACAGACCACUCGGCUCUACCAAUCAGCAGGACAUGGGUGGGGCCAGAUAAGAGAAUAAAAGCAGGCUGCCCGAGCCAGCAGUGGCAACCCGCUCGGGUCCCCUUCCACACUGUGGAAGCUUUGUUCUUUCGCUCUUUGCAAUAAAUCUUGCUACUGCUCA